GGGUUUAAUAUCUCAAAAUAUAUAGAAAAAUUAUAUUAAAUUGCAUGAAAAAUGUCGCAUUGACAAGGUGGGAAGUGGAUAGGUCUUAUAGAAGAUUAUUGUUGCUGAUUGUUAGCAGACAGGCCCUUUAAUAUUGCUAUUUUAUACACCGUUAAAUAAUUGUGGCAAUUAUAAUGUUUUCAUUAGUGUCGGUCUCUGUGCAUGUCUUGUUUUAAUUCUGAUGCAAUAUUUAUUUUUCACUUCUUGUGUUUUCUUUACAGCGCUGCACCACUGGUGAUAUUGAUAAAUUAGGCAGCAGUCUCCUAAAUGAAAUAUUACAGUACAUAACAAGCAAGAAGCUCAUUAUUUCCAGGAUCAGCUUUAUCGGCUUUUCUUUGGGCAAUCUAAUAAUACGCUCAGCCUUGUGGAGACCUGAAUUUGAAGGCUACCGUGGAAACCUGCACACUUACCUCUCCUUCGGUGGACCACAUAUGGGCCUUCUGUACCCCAACUCGUUUCUCUUUAAAACUGGCCUGUGGUUAGAGAAGCGGUUGCAUAUAGGUGUCUCCGUAUCUCAGAUGGCAUUAUCAGAUCACAAAGACCCAAGACAAAGUUUCCUCUACAAACUCAGUCAGAAAAAAGGCUUGGAGCACUUCAAGAAUGUGAUUCUCGUGAGCGCGUUACAAGAUUACCUUGUUCCCCAUCACUCCGCUCGUAUUGAAAUGUGCAAAGAUGCUGUGAAGGGAGAUGAGUUAGGUAAGGUCUCACUUUUAAACAUACGUCUACUGAACAGAGUACAUGUACCACUGAAGCAGUAGCCAGUUCUCCUCCAGCCAAGACUACAGCUCCCACAAUGCCUUGCACACUGAUGUGAUUCUUUACAGGUUUGUUUAUCACAGAUCAUGCAACAGAUUAAGGAAAGUAGGCCUCUUGGCUGGAGGAGAGUUGACCCCUGCUAAAUAGUUCCAGCUGUACAUUUUAUUAAAAAUCUUUCCUGCACAUUAAGAAGGUGCACAAGUCUUUGCUGGAUAAAUCCAAGGUCAUUGUUUGUUGGUGGAAUGGAAAGACUACCGUGUAUUUAUAUAACAAUGUAGUGCCGUUUCCUUUUCAGGAGCUGUUUACAGUGAGAUGCUCCGAAACCUCCUUGAGCCUGUUCUACACAACGAGAACUGUAACUUUGUGAGAUACGACGUUAGUUUCGAUCUGGCCAAAUCAUUCUUGUCUUUCGCUGGGAUUGAAGGCCACCUCGCAUUAAUUUCAUCUUGGCAAUAUUUGGAAAACUUCUUUCAAAACGCUGGCCUGAAAUAUUUUGAAUAGAAGAAAUGUGAUGCCCGAAGUGCCAGAGACAUUGAGUUGCAGAACCUUUUCUACCUUGUUGCACAAUGGACUAAUGAUUUUGCCGCAAAGACCGAUCUACUGUAAAAUGCUGAUGUUAUAGACCUGUGAAAUGUAUUUGUUCUUUGUAACUGAUUUACCAAUAAAAUAAACUUGAAUUAAACAUAUUUGUUGAUUCUUUUAUCCUUUAAUAGAAAAUGGUCAGACAUGAUCAUGGGGAGGGAAAAGUCAAAAUGUUUUUUGUGACACCCUGAUAGAGACAAAUUGCAUAAAAAAUAUGUAUAAAAACUUUCCGACAAUGAAAACACCAUUAAGCAAUAACAAUAAGCCUAUUGGCAAAAAAAAGAUUAUCAUGAUAUGUGUUGGUCACUGAGUAUAGUUGUGAAUACAGAGAUUUGUGCAACAGAGAAAAUAAACAUCUCCCAGCUUUGUACAAUAUAUAAAUCAAAUACUGUAUAAAUCAGCCUG